CACAAAACGUGUGACUGGCGGAUUAGUGGAGAUCACCACGGGGAGCACGUUUGAAGAAACCGACCGCCUGGGUACUGACA
rnacentral:ncRNA from 2 species